rnacentral:rRNA from 1 species
UACGGAGGGUGCAAGCGUUUAUCCGGAUUCACUGGGUUUAAAGGGUGUGUAGGCGGAUUUUUAAGUCAGUGGUGAAAUCUCCGGGCUCAACCCGGAAACUGCCAUUGAUACUAUUAGUCUUGAAUUCUGUUGAGGUGGGCGGAAUACAUCAUGUAGCGGUGAAAUGCUUAGAUAUGACGUAGAACACCGAUUGCGAAGGCAGCUCACUAAGCAGACAUUGACGCUGAGGCACGAAAGCGUGGGGAUCAAACAGG